CCAGACUCCUACGGGAGGCAGCAGUGGGGAAUCUUCCGCAAUGGACGAAAGUCUGACGGAGCAACGCCGCGUGAGUGAUGACGGCCUUCGGGUUGUAAAGCUCUGUUAAUCGGGACGAAAGGCCUUCUUGCGAAUAGUGAGAAGGAUUGACGGUACCGGAAUAGAAAGCCACGGCUAACUACGUGCCAGCAGCCGCGGUAAUACGUAGGUGGCAAGCGUUGUCCGGAAUUAUUGGGCGUAAAGCGCGCGCAGGCGGAUAGGUCAGUCUGUCUUAAAAGUUCGGGGCUUAACCCCGUGAUGGGAUGGAAACUGCCAAUCUAGAGUAUCGGAGAGGAAAGUGGAAUUCCUAGUGUAGCGGUGAAAUGCGUAGAUAUUAGGAAGAACACCAGUGGCGAAGGCGACUUUCUGGACGAAAACUGACGCUGAGGCGCGAAAGCCAGGGGAGCGAACGGGAUUAGAUACCCCGGUAGUCCUGGCCGUAAACGAUGGGUACUAGGUGUAGGAGGUAUCGACCCCUUCUGUGCCGGAGUUAACGCAAUAAGUACCCCGCCUGGGGAGUACGACCGCAAGGUUGAAACUCAAAGGAAUUGACGGGGGCCCGCACAAGAAGGGCGAAU
rnacentral:rRNA from 1 species